UCUUUUAUCUUUCCUUAUCAUUCUCUUGCCCGGCCGAAUACUAUGUUAUUGAAAUUGCGCUGGACGGAGAACUGAUAAGGGCUUAUAUAAGA
rnacentral:pre_miRNA from 15 species